rnacentral:rRNA from 1 species
UACGUAGGGGGCUAGCGUUGUCCGGAAUCAUUGGGCGUAAAGCGCGCGUAGGCGGCCAGAUAAGUCCGGUGUGAAAGUCACAGGCUCAACCUGUGAAUGCCGCUGGAAACUGUCUGGCUAGAGUCCGGAAGGGGCGAGUGGAAUUCCUGGUAUAGCGGUGAAAUGCGCAGAUAUCUGGAGGAAUACCGGUGGCGAAGGCGGCAUCCUGGACCGACAUUGACGCUGAGGAGCGAAAAGCUAGGGGAGCAAACGGG